AUAGACGACGUUCGCUAUCUUCUUCCCGCAUGUCGUGACUAAUGUCCCGUUGGCUUGUACAUGUUGAAUAUAAUUUCACACACACACACACACACACACACAGCGUGACGCAUAAGUUAGUGUUGUUU
ensembl:ncRNA C25F6.17 ncRNA